UACGUCGGGUCCAAGCGUUAUCCGGAAUUCCUGGGCGUAAAGAGUGCGUAGGUGGGUUGUUAAGUGUGACAUUAAAUCCAAUGGCUCAACCAUUUGGCUGUGUUGCAUACUGACUACCUAGAGGACAUGAGAGGCAAGUGGAAUUACUGGUGUAGCAGUGAAAUGCGUAGAUAUCAGUAGGAACACCAAUGGCGAAGGCAGCUUGCUGGCAUGUAUCUGACGCUAAGGCACGAAAGCGUGGGGAGCGAACAGG
rnacentral:rRNA from 1 species